UCGAACGAUGACCCGGUGCUUGCGCCGGUGAUUAGUGGCGAACGGGUGAGUAACACGUGAGUAACCUGCCCUUGACUCUGGGAUAAGCCUGGGAAACUGGGUCUAAUACCGGAUACGACCAUUCCGCGCAUGCGGUGGUGGUGGAAAGCUUUUGCGGUUUUGGAUGGACUCGCGGCCUAUCAGCUUGUUGGUGGGGUAAUGGCCUACCAAGGCGACGACGGGUAGCCGGCCUGAGAGGGUGACCGGCCACACUGGGACUGAGACACGGCCCAGACUCCUACGGGAGGCAGCAGUGGGGAAUAUUGCACAAUGGGCGGAAGCCUGAUGCAGCGACGCCGCGUGAGGGAUGACGGCCUUCGGGUUGUAAACCUCUUUCAGUAGGGAAGAAGCGCAAGUGACGGUACCUGCAGAAGAAGCGCCGGCUAACUACGUGCCAGCAGCCGCGGUAAUACGUAGGGCGCAAGCGUUAUCCGGAAUUAUUGGGCGUAAAGAGCUCGUAGGCGGUUUGUCGCGUCUGCUGUGAAAGACCGGGGCUCAACCCCGGUUCUGCAGUGGGUACGGGCAGACUAGAGUGAUGUAGGGGAGACUGGAAUUCCUGGUGUAGCGGUGAAAUGCGCAGAUAUCAGGAGGAACACCGAUGGCGAAGGCAGGUCUCUGGGCAUUAACUGACGCUGAGGAGCGAAAGCAUGGGGAGCGAACAGGAUUAGAUACCCUGGUAGUCCAUGCCGUAAACGUUGGGCACUAGGUGUGGGGGACAUUCCACGUUUUCCGCGCCGUAGCUAACGCAUUAAGUGCCCCGCCUGGGGAGUACGGCCGCAAGGCUAAAACUCAAAUGAAUUUGACGGGGA
rnacentral:rRNA from 1 species